rnacentral:rRNA from 1 species
GCGACCCCAGGUCAGGCGGGACUACCCGCCGAAUUUAA